AGGAGAAUCAUGAUGAUGAUGAGCUGCUAUGUGAACUACCAAAUAACCAUGAAGUACAACCAGAUUCAAAGCAUAUGGAACAAAUAGAGGUGGAAUCAACUUCAGACGACAACUUUUCCAAACACCUUGUGAAAGUCAUCUGAAAGCCAGGAUUCUCAAGAGCAUGAAGAUAGUCCAUUACAUAGGAGGAAGACCUUGAUUAUGUAUCUUGAUGCCAUUGGUGAAAAGGCAGAAGUCUAACACUGACUGUGAAGAAAAUGACUUGACAGCUGAAGGGAACAUGAACAAUUUGAAUCAGAUUUCUGAUAUGGCUCUUAAAGCAGUGAACUAAAAAACAUUUUCUUACUAAGUUUAAGAUUUUGAUAUCAAAGUUUUUGGAAGGGGGAUAUAGGAAUCACCCUGUUUGUUUGUCCAUCUGUCUGUGGACAACACUUGGAUUAUACUGCUCUAGCUCUAGUUGGUUAAAAUAGAUAAUAUCUAAAAUCAAA